CAAGAAGCCGAAGGGCUACUUAAAACCAUCGCGAACUUAUCCAAGUUGCUUCGGCGGCGCGGCUCCCCUCACGGGGGACCGCAGCCCCCGCCUCUCAGGAGGUAAGGGGCAGCCGCCGGAAGUACGAAACUCUGUAUUAUAGUGGUAUCUCUGAGUAUAAAACAAAUAAGUUA
rnacentral:misc_RNA from 1 species